rnacentral:lncRNA from 1 species
CACAGCGUGUGUUUGCUUGACUUUUUAUUCGUGAGGCGAAUGCGCUCCACUUGACGGCAGUGUCAUUUCACAGCACGUCUCUAAUUCCCGUGCAUUUCUUUUUCGUUUUUUGCACCUUCGCGGUGGUAGGGAUACACGUUAGCGGGUUUUUUUAAAAAAUGGUCAUUUCUUCCCUCAGAUUCCAGGCUUAGAAAAGCUUCUUUUUUUUUUUCUACGAGAAAGCGAGACGGUGGGCCUCCUACACCUUCGAACAGGAAGUGGAGAAGGGAACGCAAAGCCAACAGGGACGGUGUCGGUGACACAGUGUCUCGGGUCGCUCCACGCGCCGCGCUCUCCCCCUCCCUCCCUGCCUCUGCUGCUGACUCCUCCAUUUUGCUCUAGAUGCUUCUCCUCUUUCUGCCAAGAGCCACUAAUUAAAAUGAGCACAGCAAACCUUAACCCCGAAAUAGGUUGCAGUUACAGCAAAUACAAAAAAAAAAACACCUUUUUUCAUCCUGUGUUGGGUGCUUCAAUUUUACAUAUCGAUCUUUUAGACAGUAAACUGAAAUUAAUUAAAAGUUUAAACGCGUUUUAAGUAUCCGUAUUCCCCUACUAAGCCUAGACUGAAAGGCCGGAAAAGAGGCGCGUUUAUACAACCAAGAGCAAUAAGUGAGUUACUGUUAUUUAAUGGCGGCAGCUGCAGAAUGUACGCGCCACCCACAAGUUUUUUUUUUUUUUUUUUUCUUUUUGACGCGAGCGGACAGGUACAGGUGGAGCUGUAAGCAGAAAGGAUGUUCACGGGCACACUGGAACAGACGCCUGCAUGCGCGUUUCCCUGCCGAUGCUGAGCACCCAAAAACACCCCAGAGAAAGCGCCAGAAACGCGACGCGCCUUUUUGGGCCAAUGCUGACACCUAGUGGACACAGGUGGCACUGAGCGAAGACGAAAUGAACAAACCCGCUCCACACCAUAGGAUCCCAACGCAGCCUGACGCCGCCAGUCUGUUUGUAACUGCUACUGGUCAGAACUAGAUUUGUUUGUAACUCGUAGCAUGAUUUACUGCAAAGUCACAGUCGACAAAAACAAUAAUGCAGAACAUCCCUUAAUUUAUUUGCUGGUCUACGGUCUGUGAAAACCUUGUUUAAAAAAAAAAAAAAAACUUUUUAUUUUAUUUAAAUUUUUCUUAACUCUGAGUUACACUAAAAUGGAAAAAACAGCCUCCAAAAACUACUUUCAAUGUCAAUCUUUGACCAAUCUUAUUACCGUAUGUUAUUUUCAUCAUCUUCUCGAAAUUUUUUUAUCUCCAGUUUGAGCUCCCCAGUCACAGUAGGUACACCUCUUCUGGCUGCUGCUGUUAGAAUCACCAACAGUCAGGAAUAUCACACAUGAGCUGUAAAUACUGUAGUACAAAGGGGCAUUGGGCCCUCCUACACUCCUCUUUCACUUCAUUGAUAUCUGUCUCCUCCAAGGGUAAAAACUUUAGAGAGAUAGUGCAAUUUUUCCCCAUUAUUUGCUACGUUUAGCUUAUUGUUAUUGAAUGUUUGUCCAUCCAUCCAAUGUCUACAAGUGAUUGUCCCAAGUGGGGUCACGGCGAACCGGAGCCUAACCCUGCAACACAGGGGGCAAGGCCGCCCAAGGGGGAGGGGACACACCCAGGACGGGACGCCAGUCCAUUGCCAGGCACCCUAAGCAAGUCUUGAACCCCAGACCUGCCACACAGCUCAACCCACCGCGCCACCACGCCCCCUAUUAUUGAAUGUAUUUCAGGAUAAGGUUUAGAGUCUCGUUUAGCUUGUUUUUGAGAGUGUAGAAUUUAAAGAAAACAUGUAAAUAUGUAUAGCUAAGGUUUUUGCUGUUGAAUAUUUCAAUGUAUGUUUCUGGUUUUGUUAAGGGUUCAGAAAUUAUAUGGUCAGCGAG